rnacentral:rRNA from 1 species
GAUCAUUCAUAAUAAGUGUUUUAUGGCACUUUUUUAAAUCCAUAUCCACCUUGUGUGCAAUGUCAGGGUUGGUUUCUCUCUUUUGAGAGAUCAACCCCAAACAUCAACUCUAUCUUAACUCUUUGUCUGAAAAAUAUUAUGAAUAAAACAAUUCAAAAUACAACUUUCAACAACGGAUCUCUUGGCUCUCGCAUCGAUGAAGAACGCAGCGAAAUGCGAUACGUAAUGUGAAUUGCAGAAUUCAGUGAAUCAUCGAAUCUUUGAACGCAUAUUGCGCUCUUUGGUAUUCCGAAGAGCAUGCUUGUUUGAGUAUCAGUAAACACCUCAAAGCCUUUUUUCUUUUUUGAAGAAAGGCUUUGGACUUGAGCAAUCCCAACACCAAUCUUUUAAAGAGAGGGGGCGGGUUGCUUGAAAUGCAGGUGCAGCUGGACAUUCUCCUGAGCUAAAAGCAUAUUCAUUUAGUCCCGUCAAACGGAUUAUUACUUUUGCUGCAGCUAAUAUAAAGGGAGUUUGACCAUUUUGGCUGACUGAUGCAGGAUUUUCACAAGAGUCUUCAAAACCUCUUGUUAAACUCGAUCUCAAAUCAAGUAAGCACCCACCCG